rnacentral:rRNA from 1 species
AAGCGUGCGCAGGCGGUUAUGUAAGACAGAUGUGAAAUCCCCGGGCCUCAACCUGGGAACUGCAUUUGUGACUGCAUGGCUAGAGUACGGUAGAGGGGGAUGGAAUUCCGCGUGUAGCAGUGAAAUGCGUAGAUAUGCGGAGGAACACCGAUGGCGAAGGCAAUCCCCUGGACCUGUACUGACGCUCAUGCACGAAAGCGUGGGGAGCAAACAGGAUUAGAUACCCUUGU